rnacentral:rRNA from 1 species
GAGGAAUAUUGGUCAAUGGACGGAAGUCUGAACCAGCCAAGUAGCGUGCAGGAUGACGGCCCUAUGGGUUGUAAACUGCUUUUAUGCGGGGGUAAAGUGAGUGACGUGUCAUUCAUUGCAAGUACCGCAAGAAUAAGGACCGGCUAAUUCCGUGCCAGCAGCCGCGGUAAUACGGAAGGUCCUGGUGUUAUCCGGAUUUAUUGGGUUUAAAGGGAGCGUAGGCCGUCAGGCAAGCGUGUUGUGAAAUGUCGUGGCUCAACCAUGGACUUGCAGCGCGAACUGCCCGACUUGAGUGCGCAGAAAGCAGGCGGAAUUUGUGGUGUAGCGGUGAAAUGCUUAGAUAUCACGAAGAACCCCGAUUGCGAAGGCAGCCUGCUGUAGCGCUACUGACGCUGAAGCUCGAAAGUGCGGGUAUCGAAC